CCCGCUGAGUUUAAGCAUAUCAAUAAGCGGAGGUAAAUAAACUAACUAUGAUUCAUUUAGUAACGACUAGCGAACCGGGAAAAUCCCACCAUGAGAGUCGGUCGCCCUCGGUGUCCGAAUUGUAGUCUGGAGAAGCUUCCUCAGCGGUGGGUCGAGCCCAAGUCCCCUGGAAUGGGGCGCCGGAGAGGGUGAGAGCCUCGUCGUUCCCAAACCAUGUCGCACCAUGACGCGUUGUCAGUGAGUCAGUUUGUUUGGGAAUGCAGCCCCAAUCGAGCGGUAAAUUCUGUCCAAGGGUACAUAAUGGCGAGACCGAUAGCGAACAAGUACCGUGAAGGAAAGAUGAAAAUGACUUUGAAAAGAGAGUCAAAGAGUGCUUGAAAUUUUUGGGAGGGAAGCGGAUGGGGGCCGGUGAUGUACCUCGGUCGGAUGUGGAACUGCGAGAGUCGGUCUACCAAUCGACUCGAGGCAUGGACCGCCAAUUGACUGGAGAAGCAUCAUCAACACGAUUUUGAUUGGAAGUGUGCGUCGUUUGGUGUGCUUCGACACCUGUAUGCUCCGGGCGUCGGCUUGUAGGCUCCCUAUUCAGUCUAUCUUGAAACACGG
rfam:Lupinus angustifolius cultivar Tanjil chromosome LG06, whole genome shotgun sequence.